AAAAUAUAUAGUUAUAGGCAUAUACAUGCAUGCCCACGGUCAUCUCCAGAGAGUGGUAAUGAGGGGAGACAGGGAGGAUGAAUUACCUUUGCUUUUAUUCACGUUUUUAGGUGUUGCUUCACUUGUUCCAACAAAUACGUAUUAAUUCUCUAAUCUGUAAAUGAUCGAGUAAAGAAAAAAAAAUUGUUGAGACUAAAAAGACGUCUGCUGUGCGCGUGGCCUGGCCCUGUCACUGCAGCAUGGGUGGGGAUCUGUUAGGCAGCGGAGCGGGCUGUCACCGGAGUCCCUGCUAACUCGGACAGAGGAACCCCUGGAAGUCCCUGACCGUCACACCUGGGCCCCGCAGAGUGCUGGGCUCAUUGGCACGUCACACUUAGAUGACAGGGGUAGCCGUGCCUUCUUGGCAGGCAGGACUCUAGCCAACAGGUAAGACCUUUCCAGGCUGGGAGUAAACAUAGGCCGCCUUUCCAGAUCAGGUGAGCAUCGCCACCUGGCAGGGAGGAGGCACGGAUUCGUUGCAGGAGAAAGAACUUGAGCUUGGGGCAGGAGAAAAAUGAGAACUUGAGUUCAAGGGCUGCCACUGCCGCCAUGAAAUGAAGUAUCUGACCGGGACUUUUUGCUUUUACAUCAGGGAAAGCUGCUUUAAGGCAAUCCUGUUUCCUAUGUCUUUCAUGUUCCACUGUCCUGUGAUCUGGGGACAGAGUAGGGGAACAAGAUUGAGUUGAUCUCUGACUUUCUGGAGCUACACUGGAGUUGGGGAGAUGGACGGAUGGUACACCAUGGACCGAGCAGAGAGAAAGAUUGCUCCGAAGGAAACCAAAAAGGGUGGGAAGAUCAGGACUGGCCUAUUUUGGAUCCGGAGGUAAUGGGACGUCUUCCUGAGGAGAGGAUGCUUUAAACCGAGUCAGGAAUGAAGAGAAGGGGCCCGCAGGCCCUCAGUGGAUUGGAUGGUGCCUACUGGUGAGGGUGACCUUCUUUACUCAUCUACUGGUUGAAACGCUAGUCUCUUCCAGAAACAUCCUCACAGACACAUCCAGAAGUAAUGUUUUACCAGGCUUCUGUAGAGGUUAACUUAGACUUGCGGCAGGAGACUGGUUUUGUGUGAGUUUGCCUGGGGAAGAAAAUGGAGGUUCCACUAUCUUCUGGGAGUUUUCCGUGGGCACUGACAGCCUGCUCGUGUGCCCAGGGCCGAAAUCUGUUAUUCCAUCUCAAUCCUAGAACCCACGAUCACAGCUCAUCCUGGGUUUAAAGGAGGGCCUAUGAGAUGAGAAGCUUUUUGGACAUAUGACCAACAUUCAGAUAAAACACCUGCUCCCACCGAGAACCUUCAAAGCCAAUUUCAUCUGCUUUUGGCCCCUUCAGAGUAGCUGCAAUUGAAGGAUAAAUGCUCCAUGCCAGUUGGUGUUUGUUCAGAGGACACUGGAAGAAGAGGGACAAAGGUGGCCUGGAUGUAUGUGUUCAUCAAGGGUUGUCAGGACCCCGUUUCUAAAAGGAGGUUUGAAAAUAACGGUUUUGACAUCGAGAUGGUUCUGGAAGUUGAUGUCGUCCAACAGUUUGGCAAACGAAGGAAGGAGGCCUGCGGGCUAAAGCUGACGUGUUGCCUGUCUUUUGUAAAUAAAGAUUUAUUGAAACACAGGCACGCCCAUUUGUUGACGGAUCGCCUGCUGCUGCUUUUGCACCAGAACACGGAGUAGUAGCGACAGGGACCACAUGGCCUACAGAACCGAAAGAAUUGACUGUGGUUCUUUACAGAAAAAGGGUGCUGGCUCUUGAUGUAGUCUAUCCAAUUCGCUGAGUAUCUUCUAAAUAGCUACUCCAUGCUCACAAAUGUAUUCAUAGGCAUUCGGAUAGCAGCUCUCAUCUGAUGAAAUGCUGAGGGCCUUUGGGAAUGUGCUGAUGUAACGGGUGUUCAGUACUGGGCGUAUGGACAGCAGGAAGUGACGCAGAUUUGGGGCCGGGAGUCAUGGUUGAGAAAAGACUCUGUCAUUAUUGUCUCAGUGGCAAGUCACUGAUCACGGCUGGGCUCUUCCUUUGUCUGCUACAUGGAGGAGAAGGUUGAUCCGCGAGCCUAAGUCUAUGGUUCUCUGAAGCAAAGGUGCCAGUGAAGUUGCUUCAUAAAAAAAAAAAAACAAAAAAAAAACAAACCUUCCGGAAUCUUCCAUUGGAGAAUUGUCACCUGCAAAGACUUCUGAGAGGAUUCUCCCCUCAAGAGUAAAUUGUCAUAAGGGCUCCCUGUGACGGUUUGUUUUUGCUGUCUUUCCACGAUGGAGAAAAGAGAGCCGAUUGGAAAUGGGGCCGUGUGGAAAUGAAACCGGGACUCCAGGUGAAGAGACAGACACAGGUAGACCCCGGCACUGUGUCGAUUCUAGCAGAAGAGGCACAUUUUUCUGGGUCCUGGCUCUGAGCGUGCGCGUGCGAGGAGUGGAGUGGCCAUCAUCUCAAAGAGACCGGGUGAGAAGGUGGCAGGUGCUGAAUGGAAACGCCAACAGACAGAAUUGGAGAGGAGCACUUGGUAGGACGCUUCCUAAAAACCCUGCUUUGCCUCAUCGGUAUGCUGUUCCGGAACAGUUCUGCCUGACGCGGUGCUCCCGCAGGAUGCUCUCCAGGAACAUUCCGGUUAGCCUACCUCAGAAGAGUAACAGCCUGUGCGUGAACCCGUUACCCUCAAGACUUUGCUCUUCUUUCCACAAUACCUUUUGGUGGCCAGUCGACUUCUUCGACUUCCUGUUAGCUUUUCAAAUGGUUGAUUUAGAAACUCAAGUUAUUCUAGCCUUGGUUAUGUGGUCUCAGGAUUCGCACAACUAGUUUUCCUCGUUAUGAAUAUUGAGAAGAGUUGGUUGGCGUGUUGUAUGAUGAGGAAGGAGCCCUGGGAUGGGAGUCCAAAGGUGUAAACUGGGGCGGGGUACUUCGUCUCUCUGAACCUCAGUCUUGUCAACAAGAGGGUGGGUUAAAGUGCUUCUUACUACCAAAUCCUAGAAGUCCUAAGAACUGUGCUCCAGAGGAGAAAACACACAUUGGCAAAUGUGGAUUUAUUCACUCUUCCGCCAUGCGUUUGUAGACUGGUUUGAGACAGUUCUGAAUUCACCUAGUAAUAACAUUAGCUUAAUUUCAUAUGGAAGGACACAGGUUCCACAGCUUAACCAUAAAACUUGUACCCUGGUUGACUUCCACCCUUUCCCUAACAAAGUAGAUGAAUUAAUCCAGACAAUUACUGUCAGGUGAAGGGGCAAGGUUGGAGAUUCUCUGAGAAAUCUGAUGGUUGUACAGAUGAUAGGGUUAAUUUGCAAGACCUCGUAUGGAACACUUCCAUUAUUUCGGUUGCUAUUAGAGUUAGAUAGUGCUGGCUGGGUAGAAAUCUGUUAAUGUUAUAAAGUUUGGGUCAAUUUACCAAUGGAAAGGACAGCACCAUUCUAGGUUUUUUUCCCCUCCUCUCUUUCUAGAAACCAUAGCAUUUAGAGAAAUUAUAUGAUGAUAUUGGACAAAUAUAGCCAAACCCAAUCAGCCCAAAAGUAGUGGAAAAGCAAACCAUUAAAACCCUCUCCCAAACAGAAGCCUAUUGGGAAGCAAGGUAUAAAUAGAGGAAAGCUUAUGAAAUGAAAUAGACAGGAUAUAAAAUUUCCAUAUCCUCAAUCCCGCAACAAGGACUUUUCUUACAUAUAUUGCCAUUACCCUGAUAAGAUUGGGAGUUGACCAGUGGCUCUAUGAAUUUAAAGCAAAUGGUGACAAUUAGGUCCUCAGGGUAUACCCUCAUCUUCUUCAUUCACUGCAUAGCCAUUAUUUUGGAGUUUUCAUUUAUAUUUUUAUGUUUAUGGUCCUUGGAGGAGGCUGAAUACUACAUUUUGACAGUGGAAUCUGAAAGAGCUACAAUUCUAGAUUCUGUAAAUACUUCUUGAUCAUAGAAAUGCCUUAGUUUUCGGGGCGCCUGGGUGGCUCAGUCUGUUAAGUGCCCGACUUCAGCUCAGGUCAUGAUCUCACCGUUUG